rnacentral:rRNA from 1 species
CCUGACUUGGCUGAUCUUGAAAAGCUAAGCAGGGUGAGGCUCAGUACUUGGAUAGGAGGCUGCCAGGGAAUCCCAGGGCUAGGUCAGGA